CCGGAUUCCAUAUCUCAUUUUUUCAUGGAUUCCGGAUUCCAUAUCUCAUUUUUUCAUGGAUUCCGGAUCCCAUAUCUCAUUUUUUCAUGGAUUCCAGAUUCCGGAUUACCUGUCAUGGGGCGAUAUGGUAGUGCACUGCCAUGCUCAGAGUAUGGCAAGCCAUGGCACACCAUGGCAAUGUAUGGCAACACAUUGCUGAUGUGCCAUUAGGUGCCAUACUCAACGUAUGGCACUCCAUGGCAGUGUAUGGCAAAACAUUGCCAUGACGUGCCAUUAGGUGCUAUACUCAUAGUAUGGCAAGCCAUGGCACACCAUGGUAGUGUAUGGCAAACAUUGCCAUGACGUGCCAUUAGGUGCUAUACUCGUAGUAUGGCAAGCCAUGGCACACCAUGGUAGUGCAUGGCAAACAUUGCCAUGACGUGCCAUUAGGUGCUAUACUCAUAGUAUGGCAAAUCAUGGCAAUGUAUGGCAGGUUAUGGCAAGCCAUGGCGCAUGAUGGCACACCAUGGCAAGGUACGGCAAAACAUUGCCAUGACGUGCCGUGUCAUUCAAUACUCAAAGUAUGGCAAGUCAUGGCAAUAUUUUGCCAUACGCUGCCAUGGCUUGCCAUACUAUGGGUCCUGACGUGCCAUGGUCCACCAAAGUGUUGCCAUAACCUGCCAUGACGUGCCAUGGCUUACCAUAUUUUUAGUGGUUCGUCAUGGCAAUGUUUUGCCAUACCUUGCCAUGGUCCACCAAAGUAUUGCCAUGAGCUGCCAUGGUGUGCCAUGUCUUGCCAUGCUAUGAGUAUGGCAGUGAGAAAGAUUUGAGGGAGAUUUUAAGAAAAAGAUUUGUACACGAGAAAAAAAUUGGUCGCACAAGCAAAAGAUUUGUCACAAAAGUAAAAGAUUUGUCACACACGUAAGAUAUUUGUCACAUAAGGGAAAGUUCAUUUAUUAUCUCGAGGGGGGGGCGUAAGGAUUUUGAUAAAAGUAAGGGAUAAAAUUAGUUGACCCCCCUUCUUCAGAAGGAACAAAAUUUUCCAUGCCCCCCUUACGCUUUUCGAAAUUAGGAACGGCAAUGAAAAUGUCAAAAACGCGAUUAGAAAAAAAGAGAUUAGCUGUAAGUUGGACAGAAAGUGGAGAAGAAGGAAUUGGCUGGAAACAUUUAUUCAGAAAAAGUGAAGGGACUCAAUUUCUCAAAGAUGCGUUUAACUCCAGCUAAUAAGAUGCGACUAACCCCACCUGAUAAUGGUUGAUGCUAACUAAAGAUGACGCAAAAAAUGCAAAAAAUAUUGUGGCAAAAAAAAAAAAAUUGACAAAAAAUGACAAAUACAAAAUAUUAAUUGAAACAUCCCGCACGAAAUUUAUUCACACAAAAAAAUAAUAUAAAACUGAUAAAAAAAAUCUGGACGUCCAAAAAUAAACCGCAUUGAAAAUCAACAUUGAAUAUCAACAUUGAAAAUCAAAGGUAAAUUUCACCAACAUAGAAAUUCGAAAAUUUAAUUUAAUUUCGCGUUUUAUCUACGUGGCCAUCGUUAUAAUAACAAGGGAUCUGGUGACACUAUAAGGACGAUGGCCAAGUGUUAUAUAUAAUAGACCAGGGGGUCGUUUCUCAAAACUCCCGGUAAUAUUCGGGCCCUUUAGGGUACCGGGAGAGUUUUCGGGAUACUUUUCCGGGCGAGGAAGAGCGUUUCUCAAAGCUAGCGGUAGCGUCCCGGUUCUUUACGGGUUCCCGAUAAGAAAAUUAUAUUUUUCAGAGUUAAUGAAUAGAUUGGCUAAAUAAUUAUUGAAUAUCAAUAAAAAUCGUAGAUUUGUCGAUGUCUGUAGACAACUUUACGGGUUCCCGAUAAGAAAAUUAUAUUUUUCAGAGUUAAUGAAUAGAUUGGCUAAAUAAUUAUUGAAUAUCAAUAAAAAUCGUAGAUUUGUCGAUGUCUGUAGACAACUGGUACCCCAGACACUGCUGUGGCAUCGGCACUUUUCGAAAAAAAAUACAAAGAACAAUUAGAUAAAGUCUCAUUUUGUAGCAAACUUCCAAUACCUUCGCAAAGUUGUUUACAUUUUUUUAGGCGCACGGUGACAGCUAAAUGUCAAAUCAUUUGACAAAAAAGAAACCUGAUUGGCUGGUAGGGAAUCCCAUAAAAUGAUGUUAGCCGUGAUUGACCCACUUCUUCCCGGGCAGUGAUAUGGUUUCCUCAAGUGAUGAAAAUUCACUACAACUCGACACAACUUGAAAAUGGCGAGAUUUAAUCGGAAGAAAAGCACCAAAUUGGAUAGUUCAACUUGGCCAAUUCUAGAUGAAUAGUUGAUCUAUAAAUUCAGCUGAAAAUAUUAAAGAAAAACAUCGUUUUGGGUAUCAAUAAUCGCAUUAAAAGUAAUUCCCGGUAAGUUAACGGGAACUCUUGAGCUCCCGUAAGUUACCGGGCGAGUUACCGGGAUUUUUUCCGGGCCCGACAAUAACAGGCGUUUUGAGAAACACCCGUAAAGUUUAUCGGGGGCUAACCGGGUGACUUUCCGUGUUUCCGGGUUCAUCGGGACUUUUGAGAAACGACCCCCAGGACUCCUUGCGCACUUCCGCCACGUGGAUACAAUAUUCCCGCGCUUUCUAUGGGUGUCCUGUGGUAGAAACUCCAAAUAAGGAUAUACUUGGAGCGAGGUGCGAACUUUUGCCUCCAGCAGUUCAGCGUUCCGUCCCCCUUAGGCUACUCGUGGCGGAACUGACUCAAUGUGCUGAAUGUGAGAAGAAGCGUCCUGACCUUUGGGAUAUAGAAAUACCACCAAAACAAAACGCCGUAUGGCAAAAUCUUAAUGCCAAGAUGUCCGAAAAGAGGACCAAAUCCCAGAAUGCGGCUAAAGGUGCAUCUCCCCCGUCACUAGUCCAGCGACUAGCGGCGGAGCCAGACAACAAGCAGACUUACAGGCCAGUCGAGCCUAGAAAGUUUGUGGACUUCGAGUACGACGAGUUGAUUCUCGAAAACCUCAAAUCGGCAUGUGCCGCUUUUGCGCUGUUUGGAGAAAUUUAGAAUUCCCUCUAUCGGACCCAAAUGCGCUCUAAUCGCUUAAACAUGUAAAUAAUAGACAGCUACAAGUACUACAUAACGUUGGAUUGAAUUUAUAGCGGAGCCAGCGGAACUAAUGGUAUAUAACUAUGCGAUACCCUGCGUGUCGCCCGCCCGCCCGCCUGCCCGUGGAGCCAGCACAAUUUGCAAUAACUUAGCAAAACGCCACCUCAGUGAAAUAAUUAUACAAGAAUAUAUUUUAGCACUUUACGAGAAUGCUCCAUACUUAAUAAAACCCCGAAAGUUGCAUCAAAACUUACAAUUAUUUAGUUUUUAGUGUUUUUGUAUUUACACUCACGGGAAUCCUGCGUCUAAUUUUUCUCGCGUUUUGCUCUUCUAACUCGCGGCCGAUACCGUGAAUUGAUAAAGUUUUUGCAUUAUUUUCGUCGUAGCUAAAGCCAAGAAAGAAAUUCGACACAUCUUACACAUUUAUAAUAAAAAGACGUACAAACGAUGGAUGGAAGGACAAAGGAUGGGUUUGGAAAAAGAAGGCGAAUCCCGACUCAAGCAAGCUGACAGCUUUAAAGGCAUGAUGCUAGGGCAGGAUGUGUUCAUUAAUACAGCUAAUAAGUAACAAAAA